rnacentral:rRNA from 1 species
CCCGCUGAACUUAAGCAUAUCAAUAAGCGGAGGAAAAGAAACUAACAAGGAUUCCCCUAGUAACUGCGAGUGAAGCGGGAAAAGCUCAAAUUUAAAAUCUGGCGGCUCCGUCGUCCGAGUUGUAAUUUAGAGAAGUGCUAUCGGCGCCGGACCGUGUACAAGUCUCCUGGAAUGGAGCGUCAUAGAGGGUGAGAAUCCCGUCUUUGACACGGACUACCGGGGCAUUGUGAUACGCUCUCAAAGAGUCGAGUUGUUUGGGAAUGCAGCUCAAAAUGGGUGGUAAAUUCCAUCUAAAGCUAAAUAUUGGCGAGAGACCGAUAGCGAACAAGUACCGUGAGGGAAAGAUGAAAAGAACUUUGGAAAGAGAGUUAAACAGUACGUGAAAUUGUUGAAAGGGAAACGCUUGAAGUCAGUCGCGUUGGCCAGGAAUCAACCUUGCUUUUGCUUGGCGUACUUUCUGGUUAAUGGGUCAGCAUCAAUUUUGACCGGUGGAUAAAGGUCAGGGGAAUGUGGCAUCUUCGGAUGUGUUAUAGCCUCUGGUCGCAUACAUCGGUUGGGAUUGAGGAACUCAGCACGCCGCAAGGCCGGGUUUUUAACCACGUACGUGCUUAGGAUGCUGGCAUAAUGGCUUUAAUCGACCCGUCUUGAAACACGG